GACACGAUGGAUCAAUGGUAGAUCAUCUCCAACCUAUUAUGAGACAACAAACCAAGGUUGUAAUGUAGGAGGAAAUCACGGUUCGAUUCCGUGUUGUGGCA